AAAAACUCUGAACUGACUUUGAUCAACAGUUAUGGUUUUGAAUUAGAACCUGAACAGGCCCCUCCCAGCAAGCUGCUCUUGAUGUGAUGCCAUUAUCUCUGCCAGGCAGUAUACAGUACUGUUUCAUCUUCAUUUCACUUCCCUUUUCACACUUCAGUCAGCUCAUGAGAGGCAUCAGUUGGAUCUCCACCUUUCAGUGACAGUCAGGUUGAUCUAAUGUCAGAUCCCAGCGACUUAAAACCCUAAAACUCUGUGAUACAUAGUUUAGACAUUUUUGAGGAAGAGAACAUGAUCAGUUUUCUCUUUUUCUGUUGCCUGUCAGGUUGUUGUCUGGGCCUUGAGGUCCGUCAGUCUACCUCUGAUCUCAUCAAGCAACCUGGUGACAAAGUGCAGAUUUUCUGCAGCCAUGAUAAAACUGACUACAGGACAAUGCUCUGGUACCAGCGGUCACCUGGAGACACAGCUAUGAAACUCAUCGGAUAUUUGAACUACAAGAAUGUCAAAAUGGAAGAGCCAUAUAAUGUGGAUUUUAAUAUCACUGGAGAUUUAGGGGGGAAUACAGCAAAGAAUGGCUCUCUUAUAGUCAACUUUUUAAGACCAAGUCAUAGUGCAGUGUACUACUGUGCAGCUCGAGAAGCACACUGACAAAAAUCCCCUCUGAACUAUACAAAAACUCUUCACCAUCUUUGCUUUGAAUAACACAUGGAAUAAACUGCUCACAGACACCUGCUUUUGUGGUUGCAUUUUGGUUUGAUGCAGUCAUAUCCUCAUUAGCUAAUGAAACUUGGUUUCUCUAUUAUUGGCAUAUUUCUAAUAAAUUUAAUUAUAUAAUUGAAAUAUGUCAAUAGCAAAACAUUUUUGUUGGUGAAUCGGGUUUAAGGAAGAGCGUCGAUAAAUAUCAGUUUUAUAUGCAACUACAUGAAGCCACUCCUCCUUUCUACAUCAUGUUUGCUUCCUACUUAAAUGUGACUGAGUUUAGUGAGAAAGCACAAACAACAGAGACCCUGUCGUCACUUACACGAUGAUUAGAUUCCUCUUCUGCUAUUUCCUCACAGCAGGUAUUUCUCUCGGGGUUCAGAUCCAUCAGUCUCCCUCUGCUGUCAUCAGAAACACCGGUGACAAUGUGCAACUUGUAUGUACUCAUGGACAAAGUGACUACAGAGUGAUGCUGUGGUACCAGCAGUCACCUGGGGACAAGGCUCUGAAACUCAUUGGAUAUGGAUAUACACAAUUCAAAAAUGACAGCGUGGAAGAGCUGUUUAGAAAACACUUCAAAUUAGCUGGAGAUCUGAGUGGAAACAACAAAAAUGGUUCACUUUCCAUAAUCAAUCUGAAAGCACUUGAACACAGCGCAGUGUACUUCUGUGCUGCUAGUAAGCCACAGUGUAUCAAACACCCAUCUGCCCUUGACAAAAACCUCUUCCUC